GCGCCGCCCCCCGCCCCGCCCGCACAAGGUGCCCUCGGCGCCGCAUGGCACCCGCCGGCGACAGGCGGCGGUGACACGACAGGACAGGGCAGGGCAAGGCAGGACAGGACAGCCCUUGUAGAUGCUCCGUUACAGCUCCCGUGACUGCCCAGACACCCCUCUGGAGGCAGGCGGCUGCGCUCCUCCCGCGGGGCCGCCCCCGGCUGUCACGGGUGGCCGUGGGCAGGCUGCAGGCUCCUGCGCUGUCCCGAGGCCUCCUACGGCACCCGGGGCGCCCCCGGGUCUGUGCUCCGCUUCCUGGGAACGCGAGGGGACCUCUGUGCUGCUGCCUGAGGAGAGGGACCGAAAGGCCAGGAGGACAGGAUGCCACUGAGGACAAACUUCAGGGCUAUAAGGGGGGAAGAGUAGGAAUGGCAAGUUCCAUGAAAGUAGUGAGAGACUUACAGGAUUGCAGCAAUCUAAUGACAGGGCCUGGACAACUCAGUAAGCUGAGAUAAACAGGGUGUAUGCCGUUGGGGUGUUUUCCCCCCUUUCUCAAACUGGAGGUUCCAGCUUUGGUACCAUUGUUGUACAGCAGAAGAUCGUCUGGGGGACUGUGGCGGAUGAAGAGCUCGGGCUGUUUUCAUGUUGAAGCGGAGACAAUCAGAGGAGGUUCUCUUGACACAGCCCCCUUAGUCUACAACAAGCUUCUCAGAAAAGAAAAGAAAAAAAAAUCCUGUAUUCUCUCAGCUGAUGCUGCAAGUCUCAUUUUAAAUGCAGUGGAAGUAAGUACGGGAGUUCAUUAAGUAACAUGCUUUUUUGUGUGUGUGUGUGUUUUUUUUUCUAGAUUCAGUUUCCAAGAGUGGAAAAACAUUAAGCAGGAUUUUGGGAGGCAUAAAAGUAAGCUAAGUCAGGUGGGCACUCAACAUUACUAACCUGAAAAAGAGGACACGGACAGAAAGAAGCUUCAGAAAAGUGUACUUGAUUAAUUCGAAUUAUGCAAAACUGCGAAAGUACAGCAGCAGUAGCUAGUGAAGUGGAAAUGCUUUGAAGAAUGCGCACAAAGCAGAGCACCAAAGAGCACUGAGGAGUGGCAGGCAAUAAAUUAGGCAGAGCGAGAAUUCAGGAUGUGGUGGGACGAUCACAGCAGUGCAGCGAACAAUGCAAAAGACAAGCACAAGUGAUGGAAAGGAUGUGUCCUAAAGUUAUAGGAGUGCACAAAGCUGAAAAGUCAUCUCCAACGAUCAGAAAGCACAGCUGACAUCAUGACUGACAUCACAUACCUCCAUCCCGAGUAGAAAACCAGAUCAACCUCCAGUUUCUUUACCAGAUACUGACUACCCAACACUACAUUAUUGACUUUCUUCUUUGAGUUCUCCUUAGGACUGAAUGGAUUAGAGUACUUCUGGAUGAAAAGCAUUGUACUUGAAUAGCCUAAAAUUCCUUCUGCAAGGACCAAGAGUCUCUAAAGUUUCCUAAUGACACAAAAUUAUUCAUGGUAAACAGAACUGAAGCUGACUGUGAGCAGUUGUAGAAGGAUCUCACAAUAGCAAGUGAUCAGGCAGCAAGAUGGCAGAUGAAAUUCUACGACAGUAACUAAUGUAAAUAGCAAUGAAAAUAACCCUAACUAAACAUACACAAUAAUGGACUCUAAAUUAGCUUUUAUCAGUGGGAGUCAUUGUGAAUAGUUUUCUGCAAACAUUAGCCUACUACUCAGCAGCAGUCAAGAAGGCAAACAAUGUUAGAAAUGACUCCAAAAGCAUCUGAGAACAAAGCAGAAGAGCUCGUUAAGCUGCCAUGUAAAUCUCUUGUGUACUUGAGUAGUGUUUACAGUUCUGGCUCCUUCAUGGGAAAGGGGGGAUCUAGAAAACAUACAAGGCUAAAUACUCAGUGUAUGGAAAUGUACAGAAAUACGUUUGUGUGAUGAGAUAAUUUCUAACUGGGAAAUGGAGGGAAUAAGGAUUGUCUUCAGAUUCAUGAAAUCAUGAGCGAGAUGUAGGAGCCCAACAGGAAAUAAUCAUUUGCUAUUUUUCAUUACACAAUACGUAAGGGAGACGCAGUAAAUGAUCAGGCAGCAGGUUUAAAACAAUGACUGGGAAGAACCUUUCCAUACAAAGCAUUAUUAAAUUGGAUGGCUUGCUGUGACAUGACAGUAUGGAGCUGAAGACACAGAUGCUUUUAAGCAGGGAUUAUAAGACAGAAUGAAGGAUAGCUGUAGCUAUUAAGCACAGUGGUUUCCUUUUCAGAUCCUGCUUAAAAGUGCCUGCCUGUUGCCUGCUGAAAGUUGCCCAAGGAAGGACACUCUACAUGCCUUGUGUCAACACUCUCAGGCAUGAGAUGGUUUAUUCUUUUCUUCCUGCUCAGUUAAGUGUGAGAAAGGAAGGACAAACAGCAUCUCUAGGUAUGAAAACAUACUUCUACUUUUCCCCCAUUCUCCCUGGGAGUAAAAUCAGAAUCUUAGUCCUUUAUCUUGUUUGUGUGUUUUUCUAUUCCCCUGAAAAGAAUUUGGAAAAAAAUGCUUUCCCCAGUUCUUAUCAAUUUGCUCUUUGGUGGUUAGAGCCAUUCAGUAGUGACAAUCCACAUGCACUGGCCUAUCCAUAUCAGCACUAUUUUUCUCUCUCCUUUACACAAAAUGGGGGUACUACAGAGAAAGAGAAAUCAUAAAGUGGAAUAACAUCAGACAUGUAAAGAAUGUGUUAGAAAUACUUUCCGCAGUUGUCGAUCAUCAUAGGAAUAAGACCUAAAGCAUUCUUCAGCAUUCUGGAAGAGAAAGGGAUAGUAAUUUCUUCUCAUUGAAGAAGCUGGAAAGUGAAGUAGAAACACCCAGAGAUGCUUUAAAACUCAAACAAUAGGUAAACAUCCUACAAAGAUAAUCAGUUUCUAAGAAUUGUAUUAAGGAUACCCCUAUUAAAUACAAGAAACUAGAAAUCUGAAAAGCAAAUCUAAAAUGACGUUUGGCAGAAUUCCAAGAAUCUUUGAAGACAAACAUAUGAUAAAUCAUCUGGAGCGGUUAAAUCUCAUAUAAACAAAAUCUGUACGGUAGAUAAUCUGUAUAGCUAGUUAUCUGCACCCAGAGAGAGAUAAGGAAAAGAGUUUGUUUCAUACUUGAUUUCAGCAAUGGAUAGUAGUGCUUAAUCUUCAUAGGCUUAAUCUUCAGCAGAACACGAUUUCUUUUACUGUUCAGACUACAAAACCAAAACAGUAUAAAAUCUUUAAGGAAGAAAACUAGGUAAAGACUUAAGUGAAAAUUUCUUAUGCUUCUUAUAUACACGUAAGUAAAUCAAGUCUUACAUGGUAAAACUGAAAAGGUAUUGACUGCAGAAGAAAUCUGAGGAAUAGUUUUAAAUUGAUACAACUUAUUAAAAGUGUUCUUACCAUUUUGUAAAGCAUGUGUAUGCUUUUAGAAGUCUGUGGACUCUAUUAAAAGCUUUAAAAAGUCAUUUGUUCAAGAUAUACAGUGCAUAGGGUUUUGGUUUUUUUUUUAUGCCAUUGCCUUUGAUUUUGUUUCACUGGUUAAAUAUAACCACUCCACACCUGCUGUCCUUAUAUGUAACAGACACAUUAGGAGGGGGAUUUAGUGUGCCCAGGAUAAGGACAAUCAAAAUUCUGAUACUUAAAGUAACUUUCAGUUUUCCUACAAUUUUGUUUGUGAAGUUGCUUAUCAUUUCACUUUCAGAAGAUAUUUCCAGUAUAUAUUUGCAUUUCCAAAUAGAGUUUUUAUGUCCCCAUGACUAAAUACGCUCUGUUAACAUUGUCCUGGAUUUCUUAAAAUGACAGCUGAAAAAUUUAUUCAUUAGCACUUCCAGAAAAGAGAACUCCGUCAGAACAGUUGGAAGAUUUCCCAGGAUAUCUGUAUCUUCUUUACUCUCAUGUCAAGAUUUGUAAACGCUUUAAAUAUAGAGUAGGGUCUGGUUGGCAAUUAACUCUUUCAGUCUUAGCAAGGUCCUGCAGAUGUUCUGUAUUAACAAAAGGCUGCUCCUCUGCUAUUGCAUCUCUGGUCAAAGAUCACUGGAGGUAAUUUUAAUAGAGCUCUCUUUCUCAUUGUUCCAGAUCUCCUCUUCAACAGUUAAUUUUUAUUUUUUCAAACUACAAUCCUUUCAUCUGUUACCUGUAGUUUCCAGUUAGGUGACCAGUUAGCCUAUUGAGACUCAGUUCAUUUUCUUAUUUUUACAUUCUUCAGGUCUCACCUUGUAUUUGAAUACUUUACAGUGUGGGUGGUACUAACUCCCAUAUAUCAGCAGGUAAACCACGUUUAUUCUUAGCCUUAUGCUCCUUAGAUCGGUUUUAAAGACGCACCAAAGAACUUGCUACAAGAAAAGAGCACAAUGAGUCGACAAAACAACAAGAGAGUUUAUCCCAGAGUUAUCUCCUAGGAAGUCUAUCAUUUGCAGUGGUUUAGUGGCAUCACAGCUAAAAGAGCUGCUUCAAAGUUUUACCCUAUCUGCUUUCAGUCUUCUGCAAAAUAUUUAUGGGUUGUUGGAUCAUCCCCUCUUAGAACCUCAGGAGAGCUGAGAACCUAAUCUAAGGCAUCUUGAAAUUGCCGCAAAUAGCCUAUGCAAAAAUAAAUAAAUCGGUGUUUCUUAUCUUGUCUGGUGUGCCAAGGAAACAGACCACAAGAAACACUGGGGUCGUUAUGCAAGAUAGGAGGUAACAAAUCAGCUAAGAAGUGAAACUCAUAGAUUUCUUCCUAAACCCAAGUCUGCAGACUUUAAAGAAAAAAAAGUCAUAGUAAGAGAAUUGAGUAGCCAGAUGCAUGGUGCUAAAGUAGAUGACAAUAGCCUCACAUCAAUAUCUAUUACCUUAUAUCUACUACCUUAUUGCAGACCAAUUUACCCUAGAGUACAAAGCAAGCAAUUUAUAAAAAAUAUCAUUAGCUCAUUCACCAUUUCAAAUAUAUUCCCCUGUUAAUGUUACUCUUAAUUCCUUGCCUAUGUUUAAUAAGUUUUCAUGAGAAUUUUCUGCUGGCUGAAUUUGACUUCGAGAUCACGCUAUGUUGAUUUACUACUCCAUUAAGGUAGUGUGUCAAUAUGCUGCACCAGGUUUGCAUGCCAAGAUUUUCUUUCAUCCUCUAUUCAGCAUUUCAGGUGUUAAAAGGAAGUGAUGGGGCUAUUAUGUCAAAAAUUGCCAAGAACGACACGCAUCAACAACAAUCAGAUAACAGACAUCCUAUUGACUUGGUAAUCACUUGCAAUCAAAGCAGUGUGAGUACCUGCUGCAUUAUUCCUGACUAACAACUACAUAGAAAGAGGUACCUCAGCUACCCUGUGACCCACGAUAGAUUUUAGAUCAGGAACUUCCAACCUACAUGGAUCCAUGAGAGGAUUUCUUUAGGGUAUAUAUAUUCUACCCAAUUUUGACAGACAAAUCUUAGAAGAUUCCAGCUAUAAACAUGCUUUGAAUGAAACCAUUGUUUAGUUUUGUUCCCUGAGCUAAAAGCCUUGUUGUACAGCAAGAAUAAAGCAGGACCCCUUCUGCAACCAGUGAUAGGGCCCAAUAUGAGAUAAUACUCAGAUUGCCAUGUAAAACAUUAUUGUAAUAAGUAAAUUGCAUUUCUUAUAAGCUAUAUCUUCAUUAUAUGUCACAUAUUUCAUUGAUUUUCUGUUUAGAUUUUAAAUAAACUCUUCACAAUUAGGAUUUUUAAGCUCAAAUUUAAUAUCAAAAUGUAAUUAUGUUUCUUGAAAAUCAAUUUGAAUUGCCAAAAGGGCUAAAUAGUACAACUUUAAAAGAGACAAUAUAUUUCAAUUUUGUAGCCAUAUUACUAGCCAGCAUGAGAUGGUCUAAACUCUCCCAUUCCUUUAAAACUGUUUUUUCCCCUUAUCCACAAAUUGUAUCGUUCUCAUUUUUUUUCUCACUUUUCCGUUUUCAUAGCAAUCAUUAAAAGUUUCCACAUCUAGAAGCAGUAUUUAUCAGAAUUUUACAGUACUACUGGUAUCAGACUACGAUCUGUGCUAUGCCAUUUUGUCUCUUAACACCCUCCAUUAAUUUAUGGCAUUUCAGGCUUGUUUGUUUGUUUUUAAGUCUUCACCAUCAAUGUAAAGCUCCUACUUCCAAGUUAAUGGAGACACAAAUACAGGAAAGUUAUCUGGUUUACAGUCAUAUGUAUAAACUGUAUAACUUUUUUUACCCUUCAGUUCAGCUGUUUCUAUUCAAGAGUCAAUCUGACAGUGCCAUGCAUGGGUGGUAGGGCUGUGAAUUUGAGCUCUGAGAUACACGGAUUGUACAGUACUGAAAAGUUAUUUUAAAGCUGUGAUUUAUGGUGUUUAUAAGGCCCCAAGGCCAUGAAGGCCAUCAUCCUUACAAGCAACUGCUUCUUACAGCUUCCUGCAAAGCAUUUGUAACCAAGCAGAGUGCACAGCUGAGCACUGCUCUUACAGUCACCCAGCACAGAGCUGUUUCAUUUUUAUCUUCCACAAAUUCAGCUGGCAGAGCUGUCUGGAAACACCUUUAGUGUUUCAUGUGCAGUACAGCAUAAGUCUGGCCCCAGGAGGCCUGAUCCUGCCUAACUCAAGCUGCAGUUGUUGUAUUUGUUCCAGCCAAAAGCACAGGCUGUGGAUGAGCUGCCUGAUGCGAAUUUGUGCUGCAAGCAUUUCAAUGAACUUAAGGCAGCUACAGCCACAGGGCAGGCUGUGAAUGCAAGGAGGAACAGAAGCACCACACAGGCAAAGAAUGAGGUUACCCAACAAGAUAAAAAAGCUCAAGAGAAAGCAGACAUUUUGGAAUAACAGAUAAGGCUUUAAAAGUAAUCUUUGUGCGGUGGUAUUAUGUGCAUAUGAAAAAUACAUGGUGCAUGACAUGGUGAGUACAGCUCUCAUGCUGUGUAUUUUAAAAGAAAGGAUAAGACAGCAAAAAUAAAGCUACUACAAA